rnacentral:rRNA from 1 species
CCUUGGUCAGGUUGAAGUUCAGGUAACACUGAAUGGAGGACCGAACCGACUUACGUUGAAAAGUGAGCGGAUGAACUGAGGGUAGCGGAGAAAUUCCAAUCGAACCUGGAGAUAGCUGGUUCUCUCCGAAAUAGCUUUAGGGCUAGCCUCAAGUGAUGAUUAUUGGAGGUAGAGCACUGUUUGGACGAGGGGCCCCUCUCGGGUUACCGAAUUCAGACAAACUCCGAAUGCCAAUUAAUUUAACUUGGGAGUCAGAACAUGGGUGAUAAGGUCCGUGUUCGAAAGGGAAACAGCCCAGACCACCAGCUAAGGUCCCAAAAUAUAUGUUAAGUGGAAAAGGAUGUGGCGUUGCCCAGACAACUAGGAUGUUGGCUUAGAAGCAGCCAUCAUUUAAAGAGUGCGUAAUAGCUCACUAGUCGAGUGACACUGCGCCGAAAAUGUACCGGGGCUAAACAUAUUACCGAAGCUGUGGAUUGUCCUUUGGACAAUGGUAGGAGAGCGUUCUAAGGGCGUUGAAGCAUGAUCGUAAGGACAUGUGGAGCGCUUAGAAGUGAGAAUGCCGGUGUGAGUAGCGAAAGACGGGUGAGAAUCCCGUCCACCGAUUGACUAAGGUUUCCAGAGGAAGGCUCGUCCGCUCUGGGUUAGUCGGGUCCUAAGCUGAGGCCGACAGGCGUAGGCGAUGGAUAACAGGUUGAUAUUCCUGUACCACCUAUAAUCGUUUUAAUCGAUGGGGGGACGCAGUAGGAUAGGCGAAGCGUGCGAUUGGAUUGCACGUCUAAGCAGUAAGGCUGAGUAUUAGGCAAAUCCGGUACUCGUUAAGGCUGAGCUGUGAUGGGGAGAAGACAUUGUGUCUUCGAGUCGUUGAUUUCACACUGCCGAGAAAAGCCUCUAGAUAGAAAAUAGGUGCCCGUACCGCAAACCGACACAGGUAGUCAAGAUGAGAAUUCUAAGGUGAGCGAGCGAACUCUCGUUAAGGAACUCGGCAAAAUGACCCCGUAACUUCGGGAGAAGGGGUGCUCUUUAGGGUUAACGCCCAGAAGAGCCGCAGUGAAUAGGCCCAAGCGACUGUUUAUCAAAAACACAGGUCUCUGCUAAACCGUAAGGUGAUGUAUAGGGGCUGACGCCUGCCCGGUGCUGGAAGGUUAAGAG